CAACUACGGCUUUCCGGAUCUCUGCAGGCUUUGCUCCUUAGUCUUAAAAUCCUUUUUGAUUCCUUAUCAAUCUGCCUGUCUUCAGUUACAUACCACAUAGGUGGCUUUAAUAUGCAUUGUGAAAAUCCAUCUCGAGUGCUUCCAGAAUAUAAAAAUGUGACCAGAUCCAAUGGAGUCAUUUCAGGAGAGCUAGGGCAGUGCCGAGAGGCUAUUUUUACACUCUGCAUUCUGGUGGUUUGGUGACCUGCCUGUCUCCUGUUUUCCUGCCCAAUGCUGAUGCUGAAGGACUUGGUUCUCGGGUUUUGGGUCAGUUCAUGGUGCCCGGUGGAGCCCAGCAUGGCCCCGGUGAGCUUGGUGUGGGGCUUUUUUUUCUACAGAGGAGCAAAGGUGGAGAAGCCUCCAGGAGACUGGAUGUGCGUGUCCUCUGCCAGCAGGUUCCCAUCACCCAGCCCUUGCUCCCUGCACAGGGUGGUACUCAGUGAAUGUGUGGUGGCUCUUCAAGGGUUGAAGAAGAGAGGGCAGAAGAAAACCUGUCUCCUCAACUUGCUUUCCUGCCGUGGCUUUUCUCAGCUUGAGUGCUUCCCUUCCCAACUGACCACAUAUUAGGCCUUGCUUUGUACUACAUCCAUUCAAAACAAAGCAUCCAAAUGUUGCUCCCCUUGGGGAUUUACUUUAGAACAAAGACAAUUUUCAUUGGCACUCUUUUCUCCAGCUCCUGGGCUCCUUCCCCCUCUUGUGAACUGGGCCCCCUUCUGAAGUGAGACAUGGACACCCUGAAUGGAAAUGGCUUGAUUAAUGCGCGUGCAUGUCCGCACUGGUGCAGGGCACCUGCUUUUCUGGGACAAUUGCCAUCUGGAAUCAGACGACUUCCUCAUUGUGUGCCUAUUUCUGGACAAAGAGGAGGAGAAUUGGACGAGAAGCAGACCUCCUCUCCCACAUCCUCCAGCCGCCUGGCAGGCCUGACUAAGACACUCGCUCCAGCUCAGGUGGUUUGCAUGGCUCCAGUGAGUGGGGCAAGCGUGGCGUGUCACCCCAACCUUCUGCGUAACAGCGUUAACAGAUCAGACACUCAGGUCUGGCACAACAUGUCCUGAAAGGCAUCUCUGGGUUCCCCCCAGGGCCUUGGGUGCUGCCUUGCCUCCUCUCUUGAUGGCUGCCUCCCCCAACCACCACCCUGCCACCACCGGAGCAGCAGAGUCCCCUUCGGUAGCUUUCAGGUGCUGGAAGGAAAGCGGGACACCUCUCCUGCAAGUAAGGCUACCUUUGGUCUCUUGGCUCUUGGCCAGCUAGAGGCCCGUCCGUGGAUAGCAGCGGUGGGGAGAGACAUGGCUCCGGAGAUGGAGGCAGGAGUCAGAUGCUGAGACCUCCACCAGCGUCCGCUAGUGAAGCCUUUAAUGCUUACAACACUCUCGUUUUCUACAAUGAAUAGAUUAUGCUUUUAAAACUUUAAAGUGAAACAUAAAUCAACUGCACAAGAAAUAGGAAGCUCAAAAUUUAGAUUGGACCAAGUCUUUUCACCCAGGGCUGGUCUAGGGAUAGAAGAAAGACUGAUGUUUUGGUGGGAGAGGAAAGGAAGGUGACAGAGCUAUGCUGGAGAAGUCAGCACCUGCUGGGCUGGGCAGUCAGCAUGGAGGAAGCUUGAGGCUGGGGGACAAGCUAGGAUAACGCUCUGGGACAGAGCCUGCUUCAAGCACUCAGGUGAGAAAAGGGAGCUUGCUUGUAUCACAGACAAAACACUGUAUGUACAGAAGCAUAACAUUUCCAAGAACAAACAUCUGGAGCACAGAGAAUUUCAAUUCUGCUCCCAAUCUUGUUUUAGAAUGCAAUAAAAUAUUUUCAUGUAAGAUACUGGUCUGGAGUGGUUUAUUUUAGAAAUAUCAGGUUCUGUUGAUUUUUAUAAAUUGUUUUUAAGAGUGAUUGUACAAAUGGUACAAUGUUUUUGAAUAAUCCAAGAUCUAAAUGCAAACACAAUUUAAUAAAAUUAGAGACAAGGAAAAGUAUAC
rnacentral:lncRNA from 1 species